AAUAACCUUAUUUUUCGUUUUUCCGUAUCCAAUGUUUGACUAUUCGUCUUAUUUGAAAAAUUUGUGUAAAAAACUAGUCACGUAUAAAAUACUAUUCAUAUUUUAUCAUCUAGUAAUAAUAAAAAUAUUAAUUAAAAAAAAUUUCAAAUAAGACGAAUGGUCAAACGUUGGACACGAAAAA
rfam:Oryza brachyantha chromosome 3, whole genome shotgun sequence.